rnacentral:rRNA from 1 species
UAGGGAAUCUUCGGCAAUGGGGGCAACCCUGACCGAGCAACGCCGCGUGAGUGAAGAAGGUUUUCGGAUCGUAAAGCUCUGUUGUAAGAGAAGAACGUGUGUGAGAGUGGAAAGUUCACACAGUGACGGUAACCUACCAGAAAGGGACGGCUAACUACGUGCCAGCAGCCGCGGUAAUACGUAGGUCCCGAGCGUUGUCCGGAUUUAUUGGGCGUAAAGCGAGCGCAGGCGGUUUAAUAAGUCUGAAGUUAAAGGCAGUGGCUUAACCAUUGUUCGCUUUGGAAACUGUUAAACUUGAGUGCAGAAGGGGAGAGUGGAAUUCCAUGUGUAGCGGUGAAAUGCGUAGAUAUAUGGAGGAACACCGGUGGCGAAAGCGGCUCUCUGGUCUGUAACUGACGCUGAGGCUCGAAAGCGUGGGGAGCAAACAGGA